rnacentral:rRNA from 1 species
CCUACGGGAGGCAGCAGUGAGGAAUAUUGGUCAAUGGGCGCGAGCCUGAACCAGCCAAGUCGCGUGCGGGAAGACGGCCCUAUGGAUUGUAAACCUCUUUUGUCGGGGGGCAAAAGACGCCACGCGUGGCGUUCCGAGAGUACCCGACGAAUAAGCAUCGGCUAACUCCGUGCCAGCAGCCGCGGUAAUACGGAGGAUGCGAGCGUUAUCCGGAUUUAUUGGGUUUAAAGGGUGCGCAGGCGGACGAUCAAGUCAGCGGUAAAAUUGAGAGGCUCAACCUCUUCGAGCCGUUGAAACUGGUUGUCUUGAGUGAGCGAGAGGUAGGCGGAAUGCGUGGUGUAGCGGUGAAAUGCAUAGAUAUCACGCAGAACUCCGAUUGCGAAGGCAGCAUACCGGCGCUCAACUGACGCUCAGGCACGAAAGUGUGGGUAUCGAACAGGAUUAGAUACCCGUGUAGUC